AUGGUCGAGAUGUGGUGGAUGGAGGGAGUGCGGUCGGAUAUGAGAAUAGAAGUGUGGCGUCGAAGGAAGUCUCAUGCGUGGUGGUUGAGAUCCGGAAUUUGGAGUAACAUCACGCGAGUGUUUCACGGUGAUGAAGCUGGUUGCAGGAUACGUCACAGACGAAACUUGGAGGUAAAGCCUGCAGUUGGCAGCAGCAGUGACUGGGGGUUUCUUCUUCUUCUUCAGAAUUUCCUUCUGUUACCGAUUCUCCUCCCACUCUGUCUCUCUUUGCUGUCUUCUCCCUCUUGUAAUUGUUUUUCCUAUUCUUUUUAUAAUGUUCUUGGGUUUUAUAGAAUAAGAAAUAAACCUAUUAUUUUUUAUUGUAAUUUGAUUUUGGAAACAAAUUUGAUUCGGUUUGUAAUUGCUCUUAAAUUUGUUUUUGUUUUUGAGUUGAUUUUGCUUUUUUUUUGUUUCAUUGGCCCAACAUGUUUUCCUAAUUUGCUAGUAAAAUAUAAAACAAAAAAAACAAUAAUUAGUAAAAACAAUUUCUCAGAAAAUGGAAAUGGACCAAAUGUU